rnacentral:lncRNA from 1 species
UCCACGCCCUUGUCCCCAGACUGCCUCCCCUCCUCCCCCAAUCCCUUCUGACUCUCCCUCCAGCUCAGCCUCUGUCCCCCUCUCUGCUUCUUAAGAAAUUCUGGGCUUCCCUCCUUCCCCUUUCUCUCGGCAGCUAGCUGCGUUUGUCACAUGGUAUUUAGGAGAAAUGAAAGCUUGGGUCACAAGGCCCCUGCCCACCCAGCUUUCUAAAAAUCUCCUCUGCCUAUGACCCUCACCCCACCUCCGCUAGCCUCCCCAGAGUCUGGAGGGCUACUUUCUGUCUUUCACUUUCGUUUCUCAACAGGAUUUCACUUCUGCUGCAUCCCCUUCCAAUCAGAAUCCAAGGCUGGACUGAUGGACCCGGACAGGCCAUCCCGCAGCGUUUGGUCCACCCACCCACUUCAGAGACGCAGAGACUGAGCCCCAGGAGGAGAUGGGGAAAGGAGUGAGCCAUGACCAGGUUCCUGGCAACAGAAGGCAGGGUAAACCUCUGCCCCUGGGUCCUGGGUGACAGGGGAAGCUCUGGUCGUGCAAUUCAGAUUGUGCAAAUGCUCUUCUGAGGAAGGAAGUGGGGACACCUUCCAGAAGCCAAAGACUCCAUACAGUACCCACAAGUGAGUCGAGAUUGAAAAGGGCACUGAGCUCAGACUCAAUCACAGUGAGUCCCCUACUUUAAAGCCCUCCUGCCUAUUUCUGAGAGCAAGAACCUGUCCCCAUCCUGACCUACAAACCCAGCAGGAUCUGACACCUCCUCUGACUUCAUCUCUGCUUCAAGUUCAGGGAAUCCAGCCUACUGACCUUUCGGAUUCUUCCCCAAACUGGGUUCCUUCCUACCUCUGAGACUACACCUUUGCUUCCUCUCUGCCAGAAAGACUCUUCCUCUAGAUUUCUGCAUGGCUGCCUUUUUCUCUUUAUUUGAAUUUCAACCCUUAUUAAAUGAUCGCUCUCAAUAGGCACCUCUCCUGAUCAUCUUAGUGAGCAACUGGCUUCUCAGCAUCCUCUCUGUCACCUUGUCCUGUUAUAAUGUCUUCAGAGCACAUAUAACUUGUUCAGUCUCUUCUCCAGUAGAAUGUCCUCUCCACUGGGUCAAGGACCUUUAGCUGUCUCAUUCCCAGUGACUUCCCAGAGUCUGCUUGGCAAAAUAGCAGAUGCUCAGCAAGUACUGGAUGAAUAAAUGAAUGGGAAUGAAGAAUGUCCCAAGGCAAGAUUUGUAAGAAUAAAAUCAGGAAAUCUAAACGUUAACGUGAACCUUGCCAAAGCUGAACAUAUCACCAAAAAUCAUAUAUAUAUAUAUCUAUAUAUACACACAAUAUAUAUAUAUGUAUAUAUAUAUAUAUAUAUAUAUAUAUAUAUAUAUAUAUAUAUAUAUAUAUAAAACAUAUGCAUCUAUAUGUAUUUUAUAUGAUACAUAUGUAUGUAUCUAUAAUAUAUUUUUUUGGUGAUCCUUAUGUAUCAUAUAAUAUAUGAUCAUAUAUAUCAUUUUUGGUGAUCUAUAUAUGUGUAUAUAUUAUAUCUGAUAAGAAGCCAAGCGUGGUGGAUGAUACAAACCCUUGGAGGUAUAAGACUGAGGAGUGGUGGCAAGAAAGCAGGGCUGUCUUCUAAAUUCUGCUUGUCACUGCAGUCAGGAACAGUGCGCUUUGGACCAGGCAGGGGAGAGAAGAGGGUGCCUCUGUGAGCCGUCUCCACCUCUCCAUGGAGGAAGCUCAGGAUCCCCAGCCACGGGGUGUGGGGACAAAGUGCAGGUCAUAUCAGACCCAGCUCCUACCUGUCUUGGCAAGGUCCCUAGACUGGCAGAGGUGACAAGGACCAUCUCGGAGUGCUGAGCCUUACAAGGGAGAGUCCUGGCUUGCUCUCGGUGAUCUUCGGAGGGUGGUGGAGGAGGGAAAGGCUUCUAACCACAGUGUGGUCUGCAGACAAGAAAGCAGCAGAGAAAAGCUCGGAGCAGUUUCUUCCUUUGCACCUGGACUCCAUGCACAGACAGGGAGGAGCGAGUAGCCUCUGACAGAUAGGGGAAGUAGUGUCUGCGGGUAACUGAUUGUCACUUGGGGCAUGAGUGACAUUAUUAACAGCUAGGGCAGGGACUCCUAGUACAGAGGAGCUGGAGAGCUCAUGGCCGCAGGCAUGACCCACAGACCCGUGUGGUUCGGUCCAGGUAGGGUUCAGCCCCAGACUGUCAAGUUUUCAUUGUUGCAUUUGUCAUUAUUUAAGGCUGCUGGUCCAUAAUAUGCUGUGUGUGAGGGGGGGGGGAAUGGGAGG